rnacentral:rRNA from 1 species
UACGGAGGGGGCAAGCGUUGUUCGGAAUUACUGGGCGUAAAGGGCGCGCAGGCGGCUGCUCAAGUCAGGCGUGAAAGGCCUGGGCUCAACCCGGGAAUUGCGCUUGAGACUGGGCUGGCUUGAGUGCGGGAGAGGAUGGUGGAAUUCCCAGUGUAGAGGUGAAAUUCGUAGAUAUUGGGAAGAACACCGGUGGCGAAGGCGGCCAUCUGGACCGCAACUGACGCUGAGGCGCGAAAGCGAUGGGGAGCAACAGGG